GACGAACGCUGGCGGCGUGCCUAAUACAUGCAAGUUGAGCGCUGAAGGUUGGUACUUGUACCAACUGGAUGAGCAGCGAACGGGUGAGUAACGCGUGGGGAAUCUGCCUUUGAGCGGGGGACAACAUUUGGAAACGAAUGCUAAUACCGCAUAAAAACUUUAAACGCAAGUUUUAAGUUUGAAAGAUGCAAUUGCAUCACUCAAAGAUGAUCCCGCGUUGUAUUAGCUAGUUGGUGAGGUAAAGGCUCACCAAGGCGAUGAUACAUAGCCGACCUGAGAGGGUGAUAGGCCACAUUGGGACUGAGACACGCCCCAAACUCCUACGGGAGGCAGCAGUAGGGAAUCUUCGGCAAUGGACGAGAGUCUGACCGAGCAACGCCGCGUGAGUGAAGAAGGUUUUCGGAUCGUAAAACUCUGUUGGUAGAGAAGAACGUUGGUGAGAGUGGAAAGCUCAUCAAGUGACGGUAACUAAACAGAAAGGGACGGCUAACUACGUG
rnacentral:rRNA from 1 species